AUGCUGGCUUUGGUAGCACAUACACUAAUACUGGAGCAAUACAGAGAGGACUAGUGUGGCCCCUGCACAAGGAUGACAUGCACAUUCAUGAAGCGUUCCGUAUUGAA